ensembl:lncRNA
ACUGUGGCCACAGCUUCAGCUGGAAGUCGCAGCUGGUCAUCCACCGCAAGGCCCACGCUGGCCAGCGGCGUCAUGCCUGCGGGGACUGUGGCCGUGCCUUCGACUGGAAGUCGCAGCUGGUCAUCCACCGAAAAAGCCACCAGCCGGAGGCACUGUGAGGAGGAGCCAGCCCAGGAUGGAGGCCAGGGCCUCACUGCCGGCAGUGGACACUCAGGAACUGGCGUGUACCCCGUGCAGCGGCAGGGCCCCAAGUCUGCCUGUGGAAGGUGACAAGAGGCCCAGGAAAGCACAGCUGGCUUCUCUUCCGAGUGACCUUCUUGUGACCUGUCCUUUUGUGGUGCUUGAUGACCCGAGGAGAGGAAUUGGCCUGGACCAGCUCACAAAUGGCAAGAGAGUGUGCACGAGCCAGGAGGUUGUUGCACAGUGAAAAGGUGUAUUGUGAAGUAGCACAAGGUAGCAGCAAGCCGGGACGCCAGCCUGGGCGGCGCAGCCACUGUUCCUUUGUUCUGGUUUCUCGUAUUUUACCAUACUUACUGUAGUAGGGUAUUCCACACCUGCUCCUGCACAUUUAUGCUUUCCUCUUGCCUUACGUUUAAGUUUGAAUUGUGCAUGCGUUUCCUGUCAUCUGUCAGUAAUUAAUGAGGGGUGGCACAUAUGUAUGAAGCCUUAAGCAUAUGAUAACGAGAAUAGGUCAACUCUGGGACACCCAGGGCAAUGAAUGUGCUUGUCCCAUUGGGUGGAGAGCCCUUAGCGCUCCUUCCUGGUUAGUUUGUGGUCCCCCUCCACUUAGGGUUCCCUUUCAGUUGACUGAGGCCCUCUCAUACUUGGCCCACUUCCCAUUAUCAAAAGAGCUGGCACAGGCCUGGGGAUUUAGCUCAGUGGUUUCGCCGCCUGCUGUGCAAGCGCACGGACCUGAGUUUGAUCCCUGGUACCAAAAAAAAAAUUAAAAGAAUAUAAAAAGAGCUGGUACUUUCAACCAUCCUCAGUCACCUGUAGAAAGAACGGCCUGUACCAGGUCAGCAGUCCUGGAGAUCAACCCCCACCCCUCAUGACCCACUGCUUGCCUGUCCUGCCCAUUACAUGUCCUGCUUUCCAAGUGCGCAGUUUGUGUUUGGGGAGAGGCUCAGGAGUAUGAACCCUGGGCCUUUUGCAUGCUAGGCAAUCACUGAACUGUACCCUACCCCUGUUUUUUAAAAACUUUUGAGGCGGGGGGCUGGGGAUUUAGCUCAGUGGUUCCAGUGCCUGACCAGAAGGUCCCGAGUUCGAAAAUUUUUUGGUACCAGGAAUUGACCUCGGGUCCUUGUGCUUGCGCAGCAGGCGGUGAAACCACUGUGCUAAAUCCCCAGCCCCCCCAAAAAAAUUUUUGAGGCAGGGUCUCACUAGGUUGCCUAGGCUAGCCUUGAUCAUGGCGUUCUCCUGCCUCAGCCUCCCUAGUAGCUAGGAUUACAGGUUAGAUUUUUAACAUAAAUUAUACUUCGAUAAUAGGAAAGUCUCUGAAUAAAAAUUCUGAUAUCUCAUUUCUGCUGACCAGAAAAUCAGCAGGAUGUGCCCCUUGCCUGGCGGCUUAGAGCCAUGGGGCAGCUGUGCAAUCCAGAGGGCCAGCCCCAGUGUCCACCUCUGGCCCCCAGCCCGUCUUGUUGCUUGGCCACCCACAUUACUCACCAGCCUUGCUGGCCCAGCUCUUUUCUUUUGGUGCCAGGGAUCGAACUUGGGACCUUGUGCUUGUGAGGCAGGUGGUGGAACCACUGAGCUAAAUCCCCCGGCCCUGGCCUGGCUCUUGAGCCUGAGCUGUGUGGGCAGUGGGGAGGCCUUUCUUUCUAAGCGUGGAUGAACACACACAGAUCAAGGCCAGGGCACAGGCCCACGUGGCCUGUGGUCAUGCAGCAGGGGGUAAAGGGCCAGUGCCCUGCUGCCUGGCCAUGUCUGCUGGUGCCCUGGACAGUCAUUCCACACUUAACCAAGGUAGUGUUCACUUCUUAGUAGCUGGUCUAGGUGGAUUGAAAUGACAGAUUUUUUUUUGUACCAGGGAUCAAACUCUGGACCUUGUGCUUGCCAGGCAGAUGCGGCAUCACUGAGCUACAUCCCCAAGCCCAGAUUUAUUCUCUUACAGCUAAAAAUAAAAAUAUAAAGGGAUGGGGAUUUCAUUCAGUGGUAGAGCAUUUGCCUGGCUGUGUAAGCCCCUGGGCUCGAUCUCCAGACUCCCCCAACCAGUCUGCAACAUAAACUGCAACGAAACAAAACAUUUUAAAGCUCCAAAUAAAUAAUGACUAAAACAUAAAUGUGGAGAGUCUAUGAAGCAGGAAUUCACCUCAGAAAUUUUAUUACGCUGAUAAAACCUGCAAGCUUUGAAGCAGUCAGGAAAAUACCAGCUCUGUGAGAGAAGGGUCUGGCCUCCCUGGUGCAUAGCCGCAUAGCCAGUGCAUAGCAGUGGUAGGCACAGCACUGUCAACACAUGAAUAAGUGAUACACAGGUCAAGAUUAUGUGAUGGGGCUGCGGAUGCAGUUCCAUUGUGCAGCACUUGCCGAGCAUGUGUGAGGCCCCAGGUUCAGUACCCAGUAAAAUACACACAUACACACACAGGCGUGCACGCAUGC